CUAAAAAGAAAAGUAGGUCAUUCUUGUUUAAAUGGGGGGAGUAUUUGUUUUUACUUUUUUUUAAAAAAAAAUUGGAUAAAAAUAUAUCCACAUUCCAUGGAGAGUCGGAGACCCAAGUAGCAUACUCUCUCCGUUUCAUAUAAGUUGGCCCCUUUGGACUUGACACACUUAUUAAGAAAAUAUUAAUUAGGAGAUUUAUUUUACCAAAUUAACCUUAUUAAUUAUGUUUUGAAAAUAUAAAUUUAAGUAAAUACACUUUGUUUAGUCAUUUAAUGUUAAGAGUAAUAUUGAAAGAAUAUAAUAAAAUUUUCUUGAUUUCAUAAAAAAAUAACUAAAUUAAAAUAAAUAUUUUUAAAAAAAGGAUCAACCAAACUGAAACGGAGGAAAUUACGUAGUUAGUAGGAGACCCAAGGGCCUUAUAAAUGUUAGUUUGAGUUUUUUGCCCUCUUUUAUUAUUCAUGAUUUUAUAAUUUUUAGUCUUGAAUGAAAAGAUGUAGGGCAUAAAAGAUGAUUCCACUAGUGUCGAUAUUGUUGAAGUGUAUGGAAAAAGAGAAACAUGAGAGGCUUUGAGAGAUAGAGUAGAGCUUUUCUCGAUAAAGGAGUAGUCUUUACGUUACUUUAAAUUGGGUGCUACACAUAUUUGCACUUGAUGCCCUCAAUCAAUGCAAUGCUGUAUUCUGAACGUCGGCAACUGUAAAUUUUGCUCACUUUUUUAUGUAAUUUUUUAAUGUGGUUUGCACUGUCUAUCUUAACUGCUGCUUGUGAUACAGUAUUAGAAAUAAGGGAUCUUGCAAUUGAGAUAUGAAACAAUAGCAGUGUUCAUGGUUUGGUUAAAAAUUAUAUCUAAUUAAAAGUUAAAUUAAAUUUAUUAAAAAAAUUGAUAUUUAAUUAGGUUUGAUUUGAAAUUUUAAAAAUUAUAUUUAUGUGGUUUGAUUUUAAUUUUACUCCGAAAUAACCAACAAAAAAAUCAAACCAAAUCGAUAUAUAUAUAUAUAUAAACACAAUUCAUGAAUAAAAGUAUAAAUAUUUGAUACAUUUUAAAUUUUAAUCAGGAUUUAACUUUCGCCGUAAUACUUUCAGUCAUAUGGGUCAUAUGUCUCCAUCUAGUUGACAGUAUGCUAUGAGAUUCUAAAUUAUUUUCGCACUUUAAAUGAUAAAUGAUACUAAUUAUGAAUAUUAUCUUGUUGUUUAUGAAGUUUUACAGAUGAGUUUCAUUCAACUAUAGAUAAUCACUAGUUUUGAACUUUAUUUUUGAUCCCUAUUGGGCAAAAAAUUUAUGUGUUCACAUUUUGGGGGGUUUAUCAUAUUAUUCUCUUAUAUUUAGUUUCUAAAUAUUUUUUGUAGAAGCGUUCAUACGAUAUUGUUCGUAGUGAAUUGACAUCUUAGUUUUAAGGUUGAGGCACAACACUCAGUUGACAUCUCAUAUGUUGGAUUGCAUUUGUUUUUUUUUAAAAAAAAAUUUCAACUUUUAUCAUUAGCUAAAGUUAUAAACCAAAAAAAUCAAACCAAACCGAACUAAACCGACAAGAACCAAAUAGACAGUUAUUUUUUUGUGUUGGUUAGAUUUGAUUUUAGAAAUUUAAAAACCGACUAAAUUAGUUUGGUUAUGAUUUUGACCAAUAACCGAUCCAAACCAAACCAUGAACACCCCUAUGAAAGACCUGCAUUCAAGUUUUAAAUAAUAUAAUUUUUGUUGGGAUACAUACCAUUAGGGGUGUUAAAAUAAACUCAAAUUGAGUUGAUUCGCCCAACUCUUCCAAUAUUUAAUGGGUUUGAUUCAAGAUAAUUUACUAUUGGGAAAAUUUAAACUCAUUAAGACUCAACUCAUUUUUAAAUUGGGUUCAAAUGAGCCCAAUUCAAUCUUUACUUCAACUCGUUUGAUAGAAAAAUGAUUUUCUUAAUGAAAAUAGGAAAAACAAGCGACAAUGUGUUAUCCCACUCUCAAAAUGACCCAUCUCACAUCACCCUAACUCCACUACACCCCCAACUUACCCCACCCCUACCCUCCUCUGUUAAAUAAAUUAUUUUUAUUUAUAAAAAAACUUCUUAUAAAUUUUUUUCUUGCCCCUUCCCCACAUGACAUGACGUUAUAUAUAUUUAGGAUUUUUAUCAAUUCAUUAUCGUUCUUAACAUUUUACAAUCACCCGCACACGUGCACGACAUAACGUUAUAUAUAUAUAUAUAUUACAGUAUUUUUAAAUUAAUUAUAUUUUAAUAAUUUUAAUAUUCCUUACAUUUUUUUCAUUCUAGAUCUAUAUUUUACAGUAAGCAAACGCUGAGUCGGAUCAAUUAUUUUUGUGCAGUAUAAUAAUUUGAUGUCUUAUCACAUCUGAUAACGACUACACAAUAAUGUCUUAUCACGUCCGACAAUAACUACUCAGUGUUUUCUUAUCAUAUCUGACAAUGACCACUCAAUGACACUACCCUUUGAAUAAUUACUUUGUCCGUUGGUCAAAAGGAUGAAAGUCCUUUGGUCAAUAACUUAAGGACCUAAGGGUGUCCUAUUAUGAAAAGAGAGGACAUCCUUUUAUCUAUUGGAUAAAAGGGGUGCUCAAUUUUUUGUAUAAAUAGGUGGUGAAAGGACACAUUUUUUACACACAUUUUUUUGUUCAUUUCUUCUUCUCUUUCAAAAUACACAUAUAUUUAUUUUUUUACAACUCAUAAAUAUUUUUCUUUUGCAAACCCACACACAUAUUCAUAAAUACACAAGCAUAUUUUAUUUAUUUCAUUUUUCUAUUUUGUUCUUCAAAACACUCCAACGGAUACAUUACACAACAACCUCUAUUUUUGACAUUUUUCUUCACAAAAUAAAUAGCUAUACUAUUAUCCAUUCACAGACAGACCAUGAACAUAGAACAAUACUCUGACAUAUUACAAAAUACACAGAACCCAAUUUUUUCUUUUUUUCUUUCUUCUUCAUCCAAAAGGCACAUACACACACACUUGAGCGAUAAUCUCCAUUUUUCUUUUACAAAAUACACACACUACAAAAAUGACAACACACACAAUCAUCAUUUUCAUCUCUUUCUCCCUCACAAUUCUCUCUUUUUCCUUCAUUGUUCGAGAUCCAGGCGAGCGUCCAAACAACACCAACCCCGCCGCUUCUCAGAUCUGCCUCCACCAUCCACCCUCCGCUACAACAAUCCACUGCUCCGACGAGCACCGCUCCUAACACCAACAAAACAGCAUCGCGACAGCCUCCCUUUCUUCCCCUUUCGCUUUUUACCAUAAAAAACUGGCCAGAUCUGGCCGUACUCCCAUUUUUCGGCGUUGCUCCGACGAUUACCGUCGAAGGAACGCUAAUCUUUGUCUCAUACUAUAGAUUUAUUUGGUAGUAUGUUUAUUUUACAGAUAUGGGUCAUUUAUGGUGCUAACAUUUUUUUUUCUACUUUGGAUCCUUAAUACUUUGGAUAUUUGGAUUGACUGUGUUUGUUGACAUAUUUGAAGAAUUUAACAACCAUUAUAUGGUCAAAAGUUGUUGCUAUACUCCUUUGUUAUUCUUUAUGGGUUGUCUUGUUGAGAUUAAUUUAUGCAGGUGAUUUUACUCCGUUACUGUGCGGUUAUUUUUGGACUGAUUUGAACAUUUGUCCUUUCCUUUUGCCUUUAAUUUAUUACAUUGAUAAUGAACAGAUACUAACAGAAUUUUAUGGCCAAUGAAAAAUUACUUUAAUUUGAGGCCUCCGUAAAUAAAAGACGGAUUAUUAAGUAUACAUAUAAGUAAUAAAAAUUAUUUUUUGGGCAAUGAUGACACUUUACAACAAUAUAUGAUUUUACAAUUCAUAUUUUGGUAAGACGAUUUAGAAUGGCCAAUUAAUUGAGCUACCACUUCGUAGUAAAACGAUUUAGGACGGCCAAUUAAUUGAGCAACCAUUUCGCAGCCAUGACUUUAUCUGAGCCUACUUUUAACAAAAAAAUAUAUUUUUUAUAAUACGUAAAUGAACAUAUUUUUAUUUAUUAUUAUUUAUUUGUUACUAACAUUUUUAUAAGUAUUUAUACAGGUUAUUUUGGAAUAUUCGUUGAGAGUUGCAUUCAAAGAGGCCCUUUUAAUUUUGUAUUGUAUUUUUAUAUUUGUACAAAUAUUAUUAUAGUGAAAACUUUAUUUUUGGGGUAUUGGGCGGAAUUUUCUUUAUACAACUUCACCUCGCGUUUAUGCAANNNNNNNNNNNNNNNNNNNNNNNNNNNNNNNNNNNNNNNNNNNNNNNNNNNNNNNNNNNNNNNNNNNNNNNNNNNNNNNNNUUACUUUUUCAUAAACUUUAAUCAAACAAAGAACAUUAUUUUUCUCUUUCUCUUCAUGACAUAUCAAGAUAUACUUUCUUUCACACAACAUAAAAUACUUUUCUUUUCACAUGUAUUUUUUUUAUAUUUUUUAUAAUAACAUGUUUUAUUUAUAUAUUUAAUAUACAUACAUCUUUACAUAAUUUUAAACAUUUAUAUUAUUUUAUAUUUAAUACAUACACUUCUACAUUAUUUUUUAUACCUCCUCCUUCUUUGAAAAAUUUAGUCUAGCCGGGUAUCACACUUGUGGAUUCUGAAGGAUGUCCAACCCCUUCCCUUCGGAAUAACUUGAACCCUUACCUAGAAUCUCAAUUGGUUUUUCGCAGACUAAAACACUAAUGACAUGUUAAUACUUCAAUAGGUUUCCUUAUUUUCCUUAAAACUUAGGUGGCGACUCUGUGCAAAUUUUCAUUCUUUUAGAGUCCAUAACAUCGUGCUUGUUUUAACCUCAGGUAAAAAUAGGGUACCCCAAUAUAAAUAAAUAUUUUUUUUAUAAAAAUAAAUAAAUCUUACCCCAACUCCCAUCUCUCCCUCCUCCCUCCUCCCCNNNNNNNNNNNNNNNNNNNNNNNNNNNNNNNNNNNCUUAAAUUAACUUUCUUUUUUUAAAAUUAUUUUUUUACCUCAACUCCCAUCCCUUCCCUGUCCCCGCACCCCACACCCCACAAUUUUUUUUUUAAAUAUCUUUUUUUUUAAAAAAAAAUCUUACCCCAACCCCCAUCACCCCCUAACCCCCUCCCCCUAUGGCAUACCACUUUCCAAAAAGUUAUUCUUAUUUUUCUAAAAAAACUCUUACCUCACCCCCAUCCCCCCCCCACUCCCUACUCACCCAUCAAACUUUUCAGGCCCAUUGAAAUUUAUUUUCUUAAGUUGGGUUUACAAGGAUAAAUAUCAAUACGUUAAUUUUUUUGGACUAAGCGGGUCAUGACCGAACCCGAUAUCAACCCAAUCUAUUUGAACCUGAAGUAAAGUUGAGUGGGUUACGACCCAACCCAAUAUCAAAUUCAACUUAUUUAAUAUCUUCAAUCUCAACCCAACCCGCCCAUUUGACACCCCUAUAUAAUUAUGAGUUUAGUUAUGAUCAUUCUAACGAUUGUUAUAGUUAAAAGUCUCAGUGGGAGAUUAUUGGGGUAUAUACCUUUAACUAUGAGUUUAGAUAUGGUAUAUUCUAUCAAUUGUUAUGGUUAAAAAUCUAAGCAGGAGAUUGUUGGGAUAUAUACUAUUAAUCAUGCGUUUUAGAUUUAGUAUUUAUUACAACAAAAUUAUUUAUUUUAUUUUAUUAAAAAAUUAAACAAAUCAUAUAUUCGGCUUAAAGUCAUGUCCUAGGGUGCUAGGGGUGGGGUCGGGGCCAGGUGUUGGGUUAAAUUUUAGAUGUGGAGGGUGUGGUGUUAGGAGAGGGGGACUCGAGAGAUGAUAAGUUGAGGGUAGGGUCGUGGAAUAUAGGGACCUCUUAGACUAAGUCGAUAGAGCUGGUAAAAAUUCUCAAGAAGAGAAGGAUCAAUAUUACGUGUGUCCAGGAGACCAAAUGGGUAGGUUCUAAGGCUAGAGAUGUGGAUGAGUACAAGUUGUGGUACUUAGGUAGUGAGAGACGCAUGAAUAGAGUAGGUAUCUUAGUGGACGAAGAGCUUAGGGGGCAGGUAGUGGAAGUUAAUAGGUUUAGUGAUAGGGUGAUGACUAUUAAGUUUGUCAUUGAGGGGUUUUCGUUGUGCGUCUAUAGUGCGUACGUGCCUAAGGUGGGCCUGGACGAGGAGGAGAAGAGGAGAUUUUGGAUGACGUGGUAUGAGGCGUGCCUAGCUCGGAGAAGAUUUUCAUAGGAGGGGACUUCAAUGGGCAUAUCGGGUCUUUCUCGUUAGGGUAUAAUGAUGUGCAUGGAGACUUUGGUUUUGGGGUUAGAAAUAAGGAGGGAGCUGCUCUUUUGGAUUUUUCGAGGGCCUUUGGGUUGGUGGUUGUGAAUUCCAGCUUUUCGAAGAAGGAGAAGCACCUGGUUACUUUUCGGAGUAGGUUAGCUAAGACCCAGAUUGACUUUUUGAUGCUUAGGAAGGGGGAUAGAGUUUUGUGUAAGGAUUGUAAGGUUUUUCCGAAUGAGAAUCUUGCGACCCAACAUAGACUUUUGGUGAUAGAUUUGGAUAUUAAGAAGGGCAAGAAGAGGAGGGGUGGGGAGGUUCGGUCUAGAGUUAGGUGGGGUGGCCUGACUCCGACCAGUGCUUUGGAUAUAGGGGCAAAGUUGGAGGGGAUAGAGGCGUGGGAGUACAGAGCGGACGUGGACAGUACGUGGGAUAAGGCCGCAGGUUGCAUCAAGGAGACUGCUAGAGAGGUUUUGGGUAUAUCGAAGGGCUGGUCUGGCCGACAUCACGGGGAUUGGUGGUGGAAUGAACAAGUUAAGGAAAAGGUGGAGACGAAGAAGGCGCCAUACGUUAAGUUGGUUGAGAGUAAAUGUCACACCCCUUUUUCGUACUCUAAAAGAUUCGUUUUAAGUUUGAAAAGUUUUUUAUUAUUAAGUGACAAUAGAAAAUGAUUGUUUCGAAAAGGAUUCAUUAGUUUCAAAACUCAGAGUCGCCACUUGGCAUAAAUCGGGUGUGCCAAGUCACCUUUGGAAAAUCCUUUUCAAAAUGGUUUGACUCUUUAAACUGGUUUGCGAAGAGAGAUUCCGGCUAAGGAAUUCUGUUGACCGAGGGAAAGGUGUUAGGAACCCCUCGAUCCCAUGGUUCGACUACGGUCGCUUGGUAGAGCAUAUCAGUUAAUCUAACAUUACGAAUGUAUAAACCACAUAAGACACACAACGAUUUAAACAAAACAAACGAGAAUCCAAAAGUUAAUGUCCAGUCCAAUUAUUACAAAUCCAAAAUAAAAAGGUACAUAAAUGUAAACCUACCCUAAUCCUAAACUACUCUCCAUCCGGUGCCUCGGAUCUUGACUACGAACAUCUUCCGCCAACAUAAUACAUCGGGGCAUUCCCCGGUGAAUAAAUACAAAUGACCACAGGGAAUUCCCCGGCUAAAUGAACACAUUCAAUGAAAUACGAUAAAACUAGAAGAAACUUUCAACACAUAUUUAAACAUUUGACGCAUUCAACAACACUUCACUCCUAAAUUUUGCCUACCCGAAUCUAAAUAUUUUUGCCUAUCCAAUCGGUUGCCUAAUCAUGAUACUAUCACAUUUAACCUUCGUAUUUUGCUCCCAAAUAACCAACGACAAUAAAUCAAGACUAAACAACAUUUAUUUUAUCAAUUCCUACCCUCCAAUCCCCACAUUGCUUUUUCAACACCAAAUUUCAACAAAAUUCAAGAUUACUAAUUUCAACAAUUCACAACCAUCUAUUCAACGAAAUUGAGCAAAACAAAUUCAUAUCACCCAAUAUUUAACCACAUCUCACACAAAUCAAUACAUGUGACAAAAUAAAAUGAGAAGAGAUAGAAUUGGACCUCAACUUGGAUAUUUCAAUAUAACGAAGAUAGAACCACGUCUGAAAUCCUCGAAUCGAACCUCAAUGACGACCAAACUCAACCCCAAACAGUCUCAUACCACUCGACAUCGCAAAAUAAAUCCCGAAUCAAAACAAAAAAGACAAAGAUAACAUUAAUAUGACCCAUUAAGAAAGAAUGAGACCAACCACUGAAAAUUUUUGCCCGAUUAACGAUAUUUUUGGUGGGAUCUGAGUGGUGUUGGUGGGUUUGGGGUUCGGACAACGAUGGUUUGGGGCCUUUUAGGCGAUGGUGCAAUGAAGGAGUGACCGACGAUGCUUUCCGAUUGAGAUUCCGAUGAUGGUUCGUUGGAAAAACUUCCCCUCGCCGAUUUCCUCACUCCUUCACUCUCUCUCUUUCGUUGUUUCUGAUUUUGAUCUCUUUUCUCUUUUAUACUAUCUCCCUCAGAUUCAUUUCUUACUUCUCUCACGUCUUUCUUUCUCUUCGCGUAUGGUGGUGUAUAUGAGAAUUGAGAGGUAUAUGUGUGUGCAGUGCGUAAGGGUAAGAAUUGUGAGGGUGAGCUUUUAUGAGUGAUAUUAUGUGUGUCUAGAAUUCUUAAUGUAUGAUUGAUGAUGGAAGGUCCCAGAAAUAGAGGUGGCAAUUUCGUGCCUUUCCAGUGAGGCCCCCUCUGUUUUGGUUAUGGAUUUGUCCUCCUCUAUGUGUAUGAAUUGGAGAAAUAUGAAGUUAAGUGGUGGGGCCCCUUUAUUUGGAAUCUUUUUAGUUUGUUACUAAAUUGGAAUUGGUCAGGGAAGAGUACUCACUGUGAGACCUCUUUUUUUUGUUUUCUUGUUUUUCCUUUAUUCCUUUAUGUAUAUGGAAUUGGUAAAAUGUAUAGAGAAAUCUAGGUAAGGGAGGUCACGUGAGGUGGGGUAGGGUAGGUGGGGCAGUGUAGAUAGUGAGGUGAGGUGUUGCCAUUUGAUAGGGUAGGUUGUUGGUUUGUUAUUUUUCGUCUUUUUGCGAAGGGAUUAUCAUACGGGUAGGGUACGUAGUAGGAUAAGGUAAAAAUGGAUGAAAAUAAUAUCGGGGAGGGACGAAAUUAGGCGUCUACAUCAUGCCCCCUUUGAAUGUAAACACAAAGUAUUUUCAGACAAAGAAGUAGACAAUAAGACAGAAUUUUGUCUCGACCUUUAUUCAAAAGCACGAAGCAAGAGGAAGGAGGGAAAACAGGUCUGGACUUAGGACAUCCUACCUACCCAAGUUAUGAAAGAAACCCAUCACAGGUACUUCCAAAGGAAGGAGAAGGGCUAUACCGAGUUGGAGAGUCGAGUGAGGUUCCAUCGAGGUUCCGAUCCAUGACUCUGUCAUUGUAUCAAAAUGAAAAUUACAAGUUAAAAACAUAAAUGAAAUUACAAAAACCUAUCUACGUAGCUUAUUUUGGACUCUUGACUUGAGUUUCAUCACCCUAUUCUUCAGGCGGGCUCCUAACUUGCAAUUUCUUCAACUUGUUGCUUGCCUUUCAAUUUCUACACCCUGUUCUCCAGGCGAGUUCCUGACUUGCUAUUUCAUCAACUUGUUGCUAUACUUUUCAAUUUCUACACCCUAUUAUCCAGGUGGGUUCUUGACCAAUUUGUUGCUAUGCUUUCAAUUUCUUCACCUUGUUCUCCAGGAGGGUUCCUCACUUGCUAUUUUUCAAUCUGUUUAACUUUUAAUUUCUUCACCUUGUUGCUUGGUUUUUCAUUUAUUCUCCCUGUGCUUUGGGCAGGCUCCUGAAAUCACAUCAAAAUUGGAAAGAAGAUUAUCCCAAACAAAAAUUAUCAAAAAGAGAAAUUUCGUUUGCCAGAAAAGUAAAGUUCCAAAAACAAGAAUUAAAUUUUGCUCCAGUUUAUCAUCAAAGGACUUUUAUGAAAGUCAUAUCAUUAUAGGAAUCAAGGAGAAUGACUCGACUAUAAGGUACGUCUUAUAGGAAUCCAAGGAAAUGACUCGACUAAAAGGUACGUCUUCUAGGGGUCAAGGGGAAUGACUCGACUAAAAGGUACAUCUUAUAGGAAUCAAAGGGAGAUGACUUGACUGAAAGGUACUUCUUAUAGGAAUCAAGGGAGAUGACUCGACUAAAAGGUAUGUCUUAUAGGAAUCAAAGGGAAUGACUUGACUAAAAGGUACAUCUCAUAGGAAUCAAGGGAGAUGACUCGACUAAAAGGUACGUCUUAUAGAAAUCAAGGGGAAUGAAUCGACUAAAAGGUACGUCUUAUAGGAAUCAAGGGAGUUGAAUCGAUGAAAAGGUACGUCUUAUAGGAAUCAAAGGGGAUGACUCGACUAAAAGGUUCGUCUUUUAAGAAUCAAGGGGGAUGACUCGACUAAAAGGUAUGCCUUAUAGGAAUCAAGGGGGAUGACUCGACUAAAAGGUUCGUCUUCUAGGAAUCAAAGGAACGACUCAACUAAAAGGUACAUCUUCUAGGGGUCAAGGGGAAUGACUCGACUAAAAGGUACGUCUUAUGGGAAUUAAAGGAAAAACUCGACUAAAAGGUACGUCUUAUAGGAAUCAAGGGUGAUGACUCGACUAAAAGGUACGUUUUCUAGGAAUCAAAGAAAUGACUCAACUAAAAGAUACAUCUUCUAGGGGUCAAGGGGAAUGACUCGACUAAAAAGUACGUCUUAUAGGAAUCAAAGGAACGACUUGACUAAAAAGUAUGUCUUAUAGGAAUCAAGGGAGUUGACUCGACUAAAAGGUACGUCUUAUAGGAAUCAAAAGAGAUGACUUGACUAAAAGGUACGUCUUAUAGGAAUCAAAGGAAAAACUCGAUUAAAAGGUACGUCUUAUAGGAAUCAAGAAGGAUGGAUGACUCGACUAAAAGGUACAUCUUAUAGGAAUCAAGAGGAAUGACUCAACUAAAAGGUAUGUCUUAUAGGAAUCAAAGGGAAUGACUCAACUAAAAGGUACAUCUUAUAGGAAUCAAAGGGAACGACUCGACUAAAAGGUAUGUCUUCUAGGGGUCAAGGCGAAUGACUCAACUAAAAGGUACGUCUUCUAGGGGUUAAGGAGAAUGACUCGACCAAAAGGUACAUCUUCUAGGGGUCAAAGGGAAUGAUUUGACUAGAAGGUACGUCUUCUAGGCGUGAAGGUUCAAUUUAAGAAGUGUAUCACCCAACAAAUGAAAAUUGAAACCCCUGGACAAGAAAGUGUUUCUCCGGGGGAUAUAAGAUGAUGAAUUUUACCAUAAUUUGACUAUCAAACCUGUGCAGCAACAUUGCUUCCUGCAUUUGUAAAAGUGAGGCAUUGCAGCCCUUGAUAUUUAUACUCUGAAGUCCUUAACUUGAAGGUAAUAUAUUUCCUGUUUCAUCAAAGAAAACUUGUGAGUUUAAAACAUGGUGGUUGGUUUGUGGCUUUAGCUUUCACGACGAUCGCUCUUGCCUUUGUCACAUUUAACCUUGCUUCCAACUAUUAGCCUAUGUCAUUGACUUGCUGCUUCAUUGACCAAACUCCGAUUUAUUAAAGGUGACUCUGAAACAAACACAGUAUCUCUGCUUUGCCAUGGUCCUCAGAUAAACCCUUUGAACCUUGGUAUCUCCAUGAGUUCCCAGACUCAUCAGCUGACAAAACUUUUUGCAUGCCUUAUUUUGGCUCACAAUCAUGUCUCUUUCAUAUGCUAGCUUUGUCUUGAUUUGUGCAAUUAAAGAAGAUGGUAGCUAGUUUUAAAAAAUUUUCUCUCUUGUUUCGACACGGACUCGACUCACAGACAAGAGAAAAAAUAACAAUGAUUUUAUUUGGAUAAUUUACUUAAUAAAAUAAAAAUAAAAAUAAAGAGAAGAAAGAAAAUACAAUGAAUGUCCCCAUUUGAAACAACGAAAUGAAAAAUUUAUCUAGAAAUGAUAGUCAACUCUAAUGAUUAUGCCAUGCAUUUUGGAUUAAGCUGCCUGAUCUUUCCAUUCAAAAUUUCUACCAAUUAUUGUUAAUGACCUCGAAAUUGAGUUGCUUCCUUAGAUCAAUUGCAUUUAAGACCACAUUUGGCUAGUAACGCCUUGAACAGUUUUUGCCAACGAGCUUCUCUCAUUUUCUUUUUCUCAGGUCACCAUUGCCUUAUGGUGUCUGUGAGGGUUUUUCACUAAUGAGACUCUCUUAUUUUCAUUUGUCUCAACUCACCACCGUCUUACAGUGCCCGUGAGGGUUUUCACCAAUAAGACUCUCAUUUUUAUCUUUCUCAGCUUACAAUCGUCUUACGAUUCUCGUAAAAGUUUUCACCGAGACUUUCUCAUUUUUAUUUCUCUCCUAAUUCCUUAUGCUGAGGAAGACAAGUAGUUCCUAAAAUGCAUCAUCACAUCCAUUGCAUGCUUAGCCUUAACAUUCUCAAAGAUUGAUCUGAAGGUCUUUCUUUGAUUGUAACUUGGUUUUGGAUAGGGUUAGGAAGAAAGGAUAGCAUGAGGCCAAAUGACACCUGAGGUAGGGUAGGACUUAUAAAUUUUGCAAUCGACUCAAAUAAUAAGGAUUAACUCAUGCCACAGUUUCUUUUGACUGGACAAUUCUAAAUUAUUUAUUUGGUUGGACCGAGCUCAGAGUAGGGCAGCCUACGUAUCUCAUCCCUGAGAGAGGAGAAUCAGGUCACGCGUAGUUCUGGCAGCUUGUUCUUUUGCUUGAUUCUGAUUUUUUUUCUUUUGUUGAUUUUUUUUCUCUUUGGGACUUUUCUGACUUUAUUUUUCUCGACGCUCCAAAUGGGAUAAACAAAGGAUGACACAACGUUUGGAUAACAGAAUGAAAUGCCUUCGUCAUAUCAAUCUUUGAAAAUGAAAGUACAUCACAUCCAAUUUCAAAGUUGGAGAUAAAGAUCAUGUGCAUCAUCUUUUACAACAUUAACUUUGACUAAGUCUGUGUGUCACUACUUCUUCUGCUCUUUUCUAGCAUACAACUCCACUUUUGUUGUAAAUUUCUUACAUUGAAUGACUCAUGAUUUCAUGGACUUGAUUUUCUUUCUGUUUCUCUUGAUAUAAGAUCUCGCAUCCACUGUUUGACCUAAGUGAGGCAUGCUUUACAAUUGAUGACCAAGUUAUUCUGGUGAUUCUCAAAACAAUUGCCUUAAUUUUGAAAGAAGGUUUCAACAUGGUCACCAAAUGUCUUAACACGCUACCUAUUUCUCACAUGCUUUUUCAAACUUUAGCCCUCUGAUUCAAAGUUCAUGAUCAAAUUAGAUUUUAAGAUCUAGCGAAGAAUUCCGCCAGCAUGUCAUAUCAUUAAAGCCAACAUAAAAUGUACUAUGUAAAGAAAACAAACAAAUAACAUAUAUUUAAAUACAAAGGAAAAAGAGACACUCUAUUUAGUUGAAAUAAAAGAUAGAAAAGGUUUGACGAUAAACGAUAAAAGGGACAAAACAAGAUAGAUCCCGAACUACCACCCUAAAAUAAUUCGAAUAACAGAAAAGAAAAUAAAACAAACUACCAGACCUCUUCCUAGUAGGGAGAGGGGUGACUUCUCAAUUGCUUAGCCUGACAUAUUAGCCACUGAUUUGCAUAUCAGCAUGACUAGAGCUUCCACCACUGUCAGACACAUUUCCUUCAACAAAUAAGUUCUGGAUCUCUAUGCUUAACUCAUUGCCUCCCACAUAUUGUGCAGUACCGCGUGCUGGUGAAGAACUCUGUGGGAUGGUUGAGGGGCCAAUGUUUUGCACUACAAUCAAUUUAUCUUGAAUCAUCUUUUCUAUUUCUCUUUUCAAAGUACAAUAAUCUUCAGUACUAUAACCCUGAACAUUAGAAUGAUAUGCAUACCAUACAUUAGAAUUAAAAUUUCUUGAAUGUGGGUCAGGUAUAUACCUAAGGAGAGGAGUAAUCAUGCCUCUAUGUUUCAAUCUCUGGAACAAACUGGCAUAGGACUCCCCAAUAGAAGUGAAAUUAUCCUUUUCUUUCCUUCUCUUUGCGAACUCUGGCCUCGGAUGAAACUUGAAUUUAGAGGUUCCUUGGUAAAUUUGUGGGGGUCGAGGACGAUGUUGAGGGACAGGUGCAUGCCAUUGUGGAUAAGAAGACGGAUGGGUACACAAUUGUGCAUUGUUCAAAGGAUAUUGAGAAAGUGGAAUGGAACUCCUUGGAUUUUAAAAAGAGGAACCUUAUUGCAGAUGAAUAAGUGGAUUUGAUAUGUAAGCUCAGGAUUGAGACUGAUAGCAUUGGUGAGUUGGGCCUCUCAAACUUGCUUUGGCCCAGGCACGACAACAAAUAUGUUUUCCUUCUUCUUUCUUUCAAUUUCCCUUGAAUGAUUGCAAUAUCAGCCCAAAUGUUUCACAGAAUUAUUCUGUCCACCAAGCUCCUCAAAUUUUGAUAUCUCAAAGCUUGGAGGAAGGUUAACACUUGAAAACAUGCCCCAGUUUUUAUAUGAAACAUCUUCAUAGCCUACAAGUCCCAAGGAACUUUUCAUAUCAUUUUCUACACUCUUAUCUUUCCCAACUAUUUUCUCUAGGUCUUCUAGCAUGCUAGGCUUCUUAGUAAGAAAUUUUGGCGGUCCACUUAACUUAACUGUAGGCUCAAGAUUAUAACAAUAAUCAUCACGAGUAUUGAACGUGGAUUCACUAGUGGACUGGGGAAGCACAAUCGUUGGAUUGAUAGCCAAAGUAGAAGCAUUAAUAGAAGGUUGAGCAACAAAAGCACAAAUGGUAUGUGGUGAUGUGAAUGUGGUAGACUCAUACUGAGGAGCUAAAGAAAGAGUGGUGGAAGUAUUGAGGUGCAUUUGACGUGGAAUGGAUUCUGAGGCAUGCUGUGGUGCAUCAAUCAUAUUUGGAAACUGACUUUGUGAUUUUGGUAGAAGACUCAAGGUAUUUACAGGGUCAAAAGUGGGGAACUGAGGUAGCGGCAGCCCACUGGCCCAAGCUCGGUACAUUUUCAUCAUUUGUUGUCUCAGUCUCAAAUUCUCUUCUUUUAAACUUUCAAUUUCCCGACUCUUUGUUUCAUCUAUGAUGCCACUCUUUAUAUCCUUGUUGGACACAACUAACCCUUCCUUAAAUUUGGUGUGAUAUGGAGGACCAGCUAGGAAGCCACAAACCAACCACCUUAAACUAACUGAACAAGAGGCAACAAAUAUGUUAGAGUUCAACACUUUUUCAAAACCUCUUUUUCCUUUUUUUUCUUUUUUUCUUUUUUGAAAAGAUCACCGAAUCCAAGAAGGGCGCCUAAGUAUCUCACUCCCGAGAGAGGAGAAUCAGGUGUGCGUAGUUCGUGAAGUCUUGCCAAAAUGGCCAAUCAAACUCUUUUUUUUCUUUUUCUUGAAACUUUAUGAAGAAAACAAAAUAAGAAAUUGUCAAAAGAAUUGACGAAAAUCUUUUUGAAUUUUUCAGGUUAAACAUCCCUAUACAAAGUGAAACCUAUGAUUACCAAAGAAAAUCUUUUGGGUUUUCAGUUUUAAAUUACAUAUGAAAAUGGAACUUGAAUCUAUUAAAGAAAAAUCUUUUUGUAGUUUUCUUUUAGAGAUGUAUAUGAAACACCUACUCUAAGUGAAGAGUGAAGAAAAUCUUUUUGAAUUUCUUAAAUACAAUCCCCGAACCAACAAUAGGCAGCCUAUAUAUCUCACAUCCUGAAAGAAGAGAAUCAGGGGUGCGUAGUUUGUCUAGAUUGGAUAAUUAAUGAUUAAAUAACAAGCUAGACCCUGACUUAAGAGAUACGACUAAAGGCAGACGAUGAACCACGUUAAUAAAAUCUUUUGAGUUUUUAUUUUGACACUUCACAAAAAAAUGGCAUCAACAACUAUAAAAGAAAAAUCUAUUUGGUAUUUUCGUUAUAUGAAAUGUAUAAAAUUUCUACAAUCUUUUUUUGCAUUUUUCUUUUAUAAAAAACUCCUAUGAAUGAAAAAUCUUUUUCGAAGUUUUUGAAUUGUGAAUGCAUGCUAAAAGAGACAAAGAAAAAUCUUUUUGAUGUUUUUGUUUUUGAGAAAUGAGUUCAAAAGGUAAAAAUCUUUUUGAAUUUUUGGAUUGUGAGGAACAAAAGCCAUACAAAAAACUCUAAAAAAAACUAUGAAACACUUUUUUUUCGAUUUGCCUUUUCUCUUUUUUUUUUUAUUUUUUUAUUUUUCAUGCCCACACACUUUACUUCUAACACAUGCUUUCCCCCACACCAGUCUGUUAAAUGACCACGUUACCCUCAAAGAUGCAACAUUUAGCACAUAGGGAUGCUUUAGAGGUGAGUCUCCUACAAAGGACCAAGUGGAUCCUGCUAGGUCUUAAUAUGAUGCAAAUAAGCAUGACCUAAAGCUGACCUAUGUUGGGGUUCACUAAUAAGGCUGUUCGGGGAAACAUAUGGUCGAUAGUGGCUGCUUUGGCUGUCCACCUACUCCAUACCAGCCGACGACUCCCCCUCCUAAAAUACGGGUGACUCAACUAUAGGUCGCGUACACAGCGUGUACUACAGAACUUGUUGCAGAAAGAAUGACUCGGGUUAUCCACAUGAUGUCAGAUAUAAAGCGGUAACACAUAAGAUAAAAACUGUAAACAAAGAGCACGUAGGCACUCAACAAUGAUAAAAUAAACAACAAACGAUAACACAAACAAUGUUUACACACCCAUAAUGUCAAAAUAAGCCGAUACAACUCCAAAAAAAUAAGCUUGAAUUCUGAAAAGGUUUCCCAGCAUAGUUGCCAGAGUUGUCACACCCAUUUUUCAUACUCCAAAAGAUUCAUUUUAAGUUCGAAAGGGUUUUUAUUAUUAAGUGACAAAAGAAAAUGAUUGUUUUGUAAAGGAUUCAUUAGUUUCAAAACUCAGAGUUGACACUUGGCAUAAAUUGGGUGUGCCAAGUCAUCAUUGAAAAAUCCUUUUCAAAAUGAUUUGACUCUUUAAACUGGUUUGCGAACAGAGAUUUCUUCUAAGAAAUUGUGUUGAUCGAGGGGAAGGUGUUAGGCACCCCUUGAUCCCGUGGUUUAACCACGGUCGCUUGGUGGUGCAUAUCGGCUAAUUUGACAUUACGAAUGUAUAAACCACAUAAGACACACAACAAUUUAAACAAAACAAACAGGAAUCCAAAAGUUAAUGUCUAGUCCAAUUAUUACAAACCCAAAAUAAAAAGGUACAUAAAUGUAAACCUACACUAAUCCUAAACUACGCUCCAUCCGGUGCCUCGGAUCUUCACCAUGAAUAUCUUCUGCCAACAUAAUACGUCGGGGCAUUCCCCGGUGAAUAAAUAUAGAUGACCACGGGGCAUUCCCCGGCUAAAUGAACACAUUCAAUGAAAUACGAUAAAACUAGAAGAAACUUUCAACACAUAUUUAAACAGUUGACGCAUUCAACAACACAUCAAUCCUAAAUUUUGCCUACCCGAACCUAAACAUUUUUGCCUAUCCAAUCGGUUGCCUAAUCAUAUUACUAUCACAUUUAACCUUCGUAUUUUUCUCCCAAAUAACCAAUGAUUAUAAAUCAAGACUAAAAAAUAUUCAUUUUAUCAAUUCCUACCCUCCAAUCCCCACACUCCUUUUUCAACACCAAAUUUCAACAAAAUUCAAGAUUACUAAUUUCAAUAAUUCACAACCAACUAUUCAACGAAAUUGAGCAAAAAAAAUUCAUAUCACCCAAUAUUUAACUAUAUCUCACACAAAUCAACACAUAUGACGAAAUAAAAUGAGAAGAGAUAGAAUUGGACCUCAACUUGGAGAUUUCAAUAUAACAGAGAUAGAACCGCAUCUAAAAUCCUCAAAUCAAACCUUAACGACGACCAAACUCGACCCCAAACAGUCUCAUAACACUCGACAUUGCAAAACAAAGCCCAAAUCUAGCCGAAAUCAAAACAAAAAAGAUGGAGAUAACAUUGAUAUGACCCAUUGAGAAUGAAUGAGACCAAUCACUGAAAUUUUUGCUAGAUUAACAAUAUUUUUGGUGGGAUAUGGGUGGUAUUGGUGGGUUUGGGGUUUGAACAAUGAUGGUUUGGCCCCUUUUCGGCGAUGGUGCGAUGAAGUAGUGACCGACGAUGCUUUCCGAUUGAGAUUCCGAUGAUGGUUCAUCGAAAAAACUUGUCCUUGCUGAUUUCCUUACUCCUUCACUCUCUCUCUCUUUUUCCAUUUCUGAUUUUGAUCUCUUUUCCUUUUUCUACUAUCUCCCUCAUGUUCGUCUUUUUCUGCUCUCACGUCUCCCUCUCUCUCCACGUAUGGUGGUGUAAAUGAGAAUUGAGAGGUAUAUGUGUGUGCAGUGCGUGAGGGUAAGAAUUAUGAGGGUGAGCUUUUGUGAGUGAGAUUAUGUGUGUCUAGAAUUCUGAGAGUGUGAUUGAUGAUGGAAGAUCCAAGAAAUGAAGGUGGCAAUUUCGUGCCUUUCCAGUGAGCCCCCCUCUGUUUUGGUUAUGGAUCUGUCCUCCUCUAUGUGUAUGAAUUAGAUAAAUAUGAAGUUAAGUAGUGGGGCCCCUUUAUUUGGAAUCUUUUUAGUUUGUUACUGAAUUGAAAUUGGUCAUGAAAGAGUAUUCACUGUGGGCCCUCUUUUUUUUGUUUUUUUUGUUUUUCCUUUAAUCCUUUGUCUAUAUGGAAUUGGUAAAAUGUAUAAAGAAAGCUAGGUAAGAGAGGUAACAUAAGGUGGGGUGGGGUAGGUGGGAUAGUUUAGGUAGUGAGGUAAGGUGUUGCCAUUUGAUAGGGUAGGUUGUUGGUUUGUUAUUUUUUGUCUUUUUGUGAAGGAAUUAACAUACGGGGUAGGGUACGCAGUAGGAUAUGGUAAAAAUGGGUGAAAAUAAUAUCGGGUAGGGACGACAUUAGGUGUCUAUAGUAAAGAUGAAGAGAAUAAAUGGGUGAGCAAGGAGGAGUACAAGUUAGCUAAGAAGGAGGCUAAGUUAGCAGUUUUUGAGAAACUUUAUUCGGGUUUAGAGGAGAGAGGUGGGGAAAAGAGAUUAUAUAGGCUUGCUAAAGCUAGAGAGCAUAAGGGUCGGGAUUUAGACCAAGUGAAAUGCAUUAAGGGAGAGAAUAACAGAGUUUUGGUAGAGGACGUUCUAAUUAAUAAAAGAUGGCAGUCAUAUUUUCAUAAGUUCUUGAAUGAUGAGGAGGACAGUGGUAGUGUGUUAGGGGAGUUGGAACACACCGAGGAGUUUUGUGAUUUUAACUAUUGUCGGUAUUUUAAGGUGGAGGAGGUCUGUGAGUCUAUUCAUAAGAUACGAAGGGGCAGAGCAAAGGGGCCCGACGAGAUCCCGGUAAAUUUUUAGAAGUUUGCUAGAGGGGCAGGGUUGAGGUGGUUAAUCGACCUGUUUAACAAUAUUUUUAAGUCCGCUAAGAUGUCCGAGGUGUGGAGAUGGAGCACGAUAAUUCCUUUAUAUAAAAACAAAGGUGACAUUCAAAGUUGUAAUAACUACCGUGGUAUUAAGUUGCUAAGUCACACGAUGAAGAUUUAGGAAAGGGUGGUGAAAGAAGGUUGAGGAAAAUUGUGUCUAUUUUGAAAAAUCAAUUUGGAUUUAUGCCCGGUCACUCGACGCUGAGGCAAUUCACCUAGUGCGGAGGCUGGUAGAGUAGUAUAGAAAGAGGAAGAGGGAUAUCCACAUGGUGUUUAUCAAUUUGGAAAAAACGUAUGACAAAGUUCCUAAGGAGGUCCUUUGGAGGUUUCUAGAGGCAAGGAGAGUCUCAGUGGUGUACAUCCGAUCGAUAAAGGACAUGUAUGAGGGGGAGAAGACUCGGGUAAGGACUGUGAGAGGGGAUUCUAAGCAUUUUUCAAUCUUGAUAGGGUUACACCAGGGAUCGAUUCUUAGUCUAUUUUUAUUCACCGUGGUGAUGGAUGUAUUGACGCAGAGUAUCCAAGGAGAAGUACCUUGGUGUAUCCUUUUUACGGAUGAUGUAGUCUUGAUUGAAAGUCUCGUUGAAGUAUUAAUGAUAAGUUGGAGGUUUGGAGACUAAGUUGGAGGUUUGGAGACAAACCCUGAAAUCUAAAGGUUUUAGGUUGAGUAGGACUAAGAUGGAAUACUUGAAGUGCAAGUUUAGUGAUUCGAGGCAAGAGAAUGAGGUGGUAAUGAAGUUGAAUUCUCAGGUAGUUUGUAAGAGGGAUAGUUUUAGGUAUCUUAGGUUUAUGAUUCAGGGAAAUAAAGAGAUUGAUGAGGAUGUCUCUCACCGUAUUAGGGUAGGUUGGAUGAAAUGGAGGCUCGCUUCAGGAAUUUUAUACGAUAAGAACGUGUCUCCCAAGCUUAAAGGCAAAUUCUAUAGAGUUGCGAUUUGGCCGGUAAUGUUGUAUGGAGUGGAGUGUUGGCCUGUUAAGAAUUCUCACGUCCAAAAAUUGAAGGUGGCAGGGAUAAGGAUGUUGCAUUGGAUAUGUGGAUUUAUGAAAACAAACAGGGUUAGGAAUGAGAUUAUUCAGGAGAAGGUGAGGGUGGCUUCGGUGGAGGAUAAGAUGCGAGAAGUGAGGUUGAGAUGGUUUAAUCAUGUGAUAAGAAGGGGCAUGGAUGCCCCAGUUCGUAGGUGUGAGAGGUUGGCCUUAAAAGGUUUCAAGCGGGGUAGGGGUAGACGUAAGAAGUACUGGAGAGGAGUGAUUAGACGUGACAUGGAGCAAUUAUAGCUUAAUGAGGACAUGACCCACGAUAGAAAGGUAUAGAGGAAAAGUAUUAAGGUAGAAAGCUAAGGUGUGGGGUCGAGUUGUAGUCUAUAGCUAGGAGGGUUUGAUGUAGCUUGGUUGGUAGUUUAAGGAUUGAAGGAGGGGGGGUCCUUAGUUUGUUAUUGUACUUUAUAUUUGUGGAUGUCGUAUCACUGUUAGUUUAUCUUGUUGCUCACUUCCGACUUUUUUUUUGUUACGGUCCUUUGUCUAGAGCCGGAGGUCUAUCGAAAAUAGUCUCUCUACUUUUUCGGAAGCAGUGGUACGGACUGCGUACACUUUACCCUCCCCAGACCCCACUAUGUGGGAAUAUUUUGGGUUUGUUGUUGUUGUUGUUGUAUAUAUUCGGCUAAACAAAUAAAGUGUUCUUAAUCAAAGUUCACAAUAAAAAUGACGCUGAACAAAUAUCUUGAUUGAUUGUGGCACAAAAUUAAAUAUAAUUUAAUCUUGAUUAUAGAAAUGAUCAUAUUCCUACUUUUUGUGUUGGUCACUUUGUAUGUAUUUUAAAUAAAUACAGUUUAGUAUCAGAGAAAUAAAAUACUUAUCGAGUAGAUAUGUGCAAAGAAUGUAACUUUACAUAUCUAAACAUGAUCUAAUUUUAUUGUUAAGUGCUGAAAAAAUUUAUGAAAUCGAAAAUGUAUUAUUUAGGGUGUAUUCGGUAUGGAAGAAAAUAUUUUCUAGGAAAAUAAGUUGCUUCUUACUUAUUUUCUAGGAAAAUAACUUGCUUCUUACUUAUUUUCUUGUGUUCGUUAUGCAAGUAGUAAAAUAAUUUUUAAAAGCAUUUGUUUAUAUUUAACACAAAAACAAUGAGAAGUGACAGGACAAGGGAGGAGGUGGGGUAGGAAAAAUUUAAAAAUGGAAAAGUUUUAUAAAAAUAUUUUUUUAAAAAAAAAAUGGGGGGGUGGGGGUAGGCGUGGGGUAGGGUAAAAAAAAUUUAAAAAAUAAAUUUUAAAAAAUAUAUUUUCUUUUUGGGUUGGGUUGGGGGGAGUUGGUAGGGGUUGGGUAAGAAAUUUUUUUAAAAACUUUUUAAAAUAUAAAUUAAAUUUUUUUUUGGAGAGGCGUGAUGGGGGGUGGGGUUGGGAGAGAAUUUUUUAUUUUGGAAUGGGCGUGGUUAUUUUAUGCUUUGAUUAAGGAAGUCACUUUUCUUACUUUGAAGGUACUUGUUCUUUUAGAAAAAAUAUUUUUCAAAAUUUUUAGUCCUCAAAAAUAUUUUUUAGAAAAUAUUUUCCUUCAUUUCGGACACACCCUUAAUGAAAAGGCAAUCAUUAAAAGUAGAUAAUCAAUAAUCAACAAAUCCAAAUAAAUUUUUAAAUGAAAGGUUCCUCCGUUUAAAAAAUAGUUCAUCCUUAUUGACUUGACACUCUCUUUAAAAAAUAUUAAUUAGUUGUUUAUCUUAUCAUAUUGGUCUUAUUAAUUAUGCUUUUGAACUUUUGGGUUGUGGAUAGAGAAUUCGAGCUUUCCGAAGAAGGAGGAACACCUUAUUACUUUUCAUAGUUCAGUGAUCAAAACUCAGAUUGACUUUUUGCUCCUUAGGAAGAGUGAUAGAGCGCUAUGUAAGGAGUGUAAAGUCAUACUUAGCGAGAACCUUUCAACUUAACAUCGGUUGUUGGUAAUGAACUUGGUAAUCAAUCAGGGCAGAAAAAAGAGAAAUGUGGAGGCUCCAUCCAGGAUUAAGUGGGGUAACUUGACUUUGACUAGUGCUUUGGAGUUGGGGGAGAAGUUGAAGAGUAAGGGGGCUUGGAAGGCUAGAGGGAAUGUGAUUGUAUGUGGGAGAUGAUUGUCAGUUGCAUUCGGGAGACCGCUAGAGAGGUGUUGGGUGUGUCGAGAGAUCGAUCUGGUAUGAUCGAGGGGACUGGUGGUGAAAUGACGAGGUUAAGAGGAAGGUGGAGUUGAAAAAGGUGGCUGAGAAAGGUGGAUUUGAAGAAGGUGGCUUAAACCAAGUUGGUUGAGAGCAAGGAUGAUGAGGAGAGACAAAUGAAUAAGGAGGAAUAUAAAGUAGCUAGAAGAGAGGUUAAGUUAGCAAUAACAGCGGCUAAGUCAUCAGCUUUUGAGAGCUUAUAUGCGGCUCUAGAGGAGAAAGACAGGGAUAAAAAGUUGUUUAGGCUUGCCAAGGACAGAGAAUGGAGGGUUCGUGACCUUGACCAAGUGAAGUGUAUCAAGGGAGAGGAUGGUACUGUGUUGGUUGAGGACGCCCUUAUUAGGAAGAUGUGGCAGUCCUAUUUUCAUAAACUUUUGAACGACGAGGGAGACAAAGGUUUUGUGUUGGGGGACUUAGAGAAAUCUGAGGAGUAUCACGAUUGUGGUUAUUGUAGGUGGAUCGAGGUUGAGGAGGUUAAAGAGGCUAUUCGUAGGAUGCGUCGGGGUAGGGCAACGGGGCUUGAUAAAAUUCCGGUAGAUUUUUGGAAGUGCACUGGCAGGGCAGGUUUGGAGUAGUUGGCAAGGUUGUUUAACAUCAUUUUUAGGGUGGCAAGGAUGCCUGAAACUUGGAGGUGGAGUAAGAUGAUUCCAUUAUAUAAUAACAAUGAAGAUAUCCAGAGUUCCAACUAUAGAGGUAUUAAGCUGUUGAGUUAUACUAUGAAGGUUUGGGAAAUGGUGGUUGAGUUGUGGCUGAGAAAGAUCGUGACUAUCUCUGAGAAUCAGUUUGGUUUCAUGUUUGGUCGCUCGACUAUUGAGGCCAUUCACCUUGUGAGGAGGUUAGUGGAGCAGUUUUGGGAGAGAAAGAAGGAUUUACACAUUGUUUAUUAAUCUGGAGAAGGCAUAUGACAGAGUACCCAGGAAGAUUUUGUGGAGGUUCUUGGAGGCUAGAGGGGUGCCCGUGGCGUACGCUAUGUCGAUUCAGGACAUGUAUGAUGGCGCGAAGACUCGUGUGAGGAUGGUAUGUGGAGAUUCAAAGCCUUUUCUAAUUUUGAUAGGUUUGCACCAGGGAUCGACUCUUAGCUCUUUUUUAUUUACCUUGGUAAUAGAUGUUUUGAUUCGACAUAUUCAAUGGGAGGUGCCUUGGUGAAUGCUAUUUGCUGAUGUGGUUCUAAUUGAUGAGACUCGAGGAAAAGUCAAUGAUAAGUUGGAGAUUUGGAGACAGACUCUGGAGUCUAAAUGAUUUCGGUUAAGCAGGACCAAGACGGAGUACUUAGAGUAUAAGUUUAGUGAUGUGUCGUCGCAGAAGGCUGACGUGGUUGUGAAUCUGGACUCUCAGGCCAUUCAGAAGAGGGAAAGUUUUAAGUAUCUGUGGUCUAUGAUUCAGGGCAAUGGUGAGAUUGACGAGGAUGUCACGUAUCGUAUUGGGGCAGGGGGGUUGAAAUGGAGGCUUGCUUCAAGAGUUUUAUGUGAUAAGAAGGUACCCCUGAAGCUUAAAGGUAAGUUCUACAGAGUAGCAAUCCGACCGACUAUGUUGUAUAGAGCGGAGUGUUGGCCAGUUAAGAACUCUCACAUCUAAAAGUUGAAGGUGGCGGAGAUAAAGAUGCUGCGAUGAAUGUGUGGACAUACCAGGAGAGAUAGAGUGAGGAAUGAGAUUAUUUAAGAGAAGGUGGGAGUGGCUUCGGUGGAGGACAAGAUGUUAGAAGUAAGGUUACGAUGGUUUGGUCACAUGAUAAUGAGGGGCUCUGAUGCUCCAGUGCGAAGGUGUGAGACACUGGCUAUAGAUGAUUUUAGGCAGGAUAGAGGUAGGCCAAAGAAAUAUUAGAAGGAGGUGAUUAGGCAUGGUACGGAACAGUUACAGCUUACAGAGGACAUGAUCCUUGAUAGGAAUGUGUGGAGGACGCGGACUAGGGUAGAGAUUAGGGGGUGGUUUAGGGUAGAGGGUAGAGGAUCCUUGACAGAGUUGUGUCUGAUGUUUCUUGUUCGUGGUGUUGAGUGUUGUCUUUGGUUUAGGAUAGAUAAUUUAUUUGUAUUAUCCUGUGGCUAGAAGUGUUAGUUUAAUUUUGCAUACUGUACUAGUUUACAUGUAUAUAUGUUUUAUGUUUGUUAUAUUGUUGUAGGUCUUGAACUGAGGAUCUAUCAGAAAUAGCCUCUCUACUUCACCUGAGGUAGUGGUAUUGUUUGCGUACACUCUAGCCUCCCCAGACCCCACUAUAUGGGAAUACGCUGGGUAUGUUGUUGUUGAAUUAUGCUUUGAAAAUAUAAAUCUGAGUAUAUACACUUUAUGCAGUCAUUUAAUAAUAGGAGUAACCUUGGAAGAACAUACUAAUAAAAUUCUCUUGAUUUCAUAAAUGAAACAACUAAAUGGAAAUAAAUAUUUUUAAUAAGAGGGAUAAUUAUUUUGAAAUACAGGAAGUAUAACAGAGAAUUAAGGUAUUUGAGAACAGUGAUACGUGUUAUGAGUAUAUAAGAUGUAAACGGGUACAUGUACGUACCAUAUAACAACACUUGAUACAAGAAUUCUUUCUCUAUUAUUGAUAGUUACAAUAAAACAUUCAAGUGUUGUCUAUUCCAUAUGAGACGAUAACAAUAUGCAAAGGCAGAAAAUAAUGAAGUCAAUCAAAAAGUUAGGAACUUUAUAUUAGGAAUAACAUACUCCCUCCGUUUAAAAAAGAAUAACCUAAUUUGGCUUGACACCGAGUUUAAGAAAGUAGGAAGACUUUUAAUUCUUAUGGUCCUAAAUUAAAGUUGUGGCAAAUGUACCAAAAAGCCUUCAAUCUUGUGGUCUUAAGCAUGCCAGGUGUAAAGCUGAAAUUUAAGUAUUGUUAAAAAAGAAAAGGGUCACUCAUUUUAAAAUGAACUAAAAAAAAAGUAGAUCAUUCUUUUUUAAACGGAGAAAGUACAAACCAGUACCCAGAAAAAUAAUACUCAGUAAUAUCAUAUGUUGGGCAUACCAUUUGAGUAGAAAGAGCAUUCAACUGCUUAGGCCAAUUUAAUAUGAAUGUUCUAACACUGCCUACCUCCUCCACCAAUACCUGACCAACCAAAAAUAAAGAAGAUAUCCAUCAAGAAACAGCAAUCACCUAAACUAAGUAGGCGUUUAGACAUGUGAUUGCAUCUCAUUGAUUUGUACCGGAUUGGUUUCAAUCAUUGUGUUUAAUUCCCAGCUUCUUUGGGAAUUUCAAGACUAAACUAGCUUUGAGUACUGCAAAUUUAUAUAGCUGCAGCCACGGGGAUAAAUUCGUCCAUUUACCAACAACCAUAUUACACACGUUUCUUCUGCCCAUGAGAAAUUUCAAUUUAGUGAGUAAAUACAACCUUUAUAUCUAUAUAUGGAGUAAGCAAACAAUAUAUAUAUGGGUUUCAAUGUUGUUUUCGAUAAAAACCCGACUAAUCAGAAUACACCUCUGGAUGGUGAAGAAGUACUUACAUUUCACCAUUAUACAUACAUUGAACGUGCUAUCAAAUAUAUCGGAAUUAAAUUUAGUUACUAUUGUUACGCCUAUGGGUCAUAUCAAGGCCGGAUUUUAUUUAUAUAAGUGGGAAGCUCUCGUUUCAUAGAUUUUAUCAUCAUUUGAAUGAAAUGGGUACGACCAGAGAGAAACGAAUAUAAAUAAUUUCAUAUAUAUUUUAACUAGCUUACAGUUGAAAUGUAUUAGUUGUUGUUAAAUUAGAUUACUUGUGC
rnacentral:lncRNA from 1 species